rnacentral:tRNA from 1 species
GCCUAGGUAGCUCAGUGGGUUGAGCAUCUGACUUUGGCUCAGGUCAUGAUCUUGCAGUUCGUGAAUUCAAGCUCCACACUGGGCU